GGGGAUUUAGCUCAGCAGCAUGAGCGUCUGCCUUGCAAGCACACGGCUGUGAGUUCAAUCCCUG
rnacentral:tRNA from 1 species